GGAGUCAGAACGGGACAUGCGUAGCAAGUACCCUUAUCUGUUCAAUGUGUAAUCAUGUACUUUAUUCUGCCUUGUGUAAAAUUCGAGGACGAAUUUUCUGUAAGGGGGGAAGAAUGUAACACCCCUGAUUUUUUAUAUAUUAUUAUUGGGCUUCGUGUAGGUAUCCUCAAUUCGCGGAAAUUCGACAGUUGUCCGGAUCUGUGAAUUUCCGGCCAGACAGACCAGCUACCGAAAAAGUCUCCGAAUUGGAUCGAGGUUUUGGCUACCCCACCAUUGUCAGGCAUCCCGAGCGCGUUCCCGAAGUCGGAAUCGGCAAAGGUGAGCCGGGACAGCCUUCUUCCUCCGCCCAGCCGCCACAGUGAUUGCCGUCAAGUCUGCUACAGGAGGAUUUUAUUUUGGUUAACCUGCUUUUCUCCUUCGCAGGUUGUUUAUCGAUAUUUGUGUAAUUUUAUUUACUCCUAGAAUUUCUGCAUGUGUUAGAAGUAUUUAUUUGAUUAUGGUCUGUAAUAUUAUUAUCAUGUUGGACCUGUAAA